AGGGCCAAAGGGUGCAAGCACUGCCUUGACAAGAACUGCUCUAAUGUGCCCAGAGCACCAAAGCCAGAGGGGAAUACACGUCUGCAACCACUCAAAGAAGGACUUCUAUUAACAAACAGAACUACCUUAAACUGUUACCAAAGGUACCUAUAGGGCUGGCUGUGGCACCCCCUGGAGCACUGCACUCACAGCACGGUAUAUCAGGAGCUGCUGGCCCUGCGCCCUCUCGGUUCCUUCUUGCCGACAACUCUGACAGAGGGGAGGCAGGUGGGUAAUGGAAUGGGCAUGAGUAACACAUCUCGAAGAACAGUUACAAAAGGAGGCCCAGGUCUCUUCAAGUGGAGCGCACCAGAUCGAGGCUCCUCUGGACCUCCUCCAGAGACCUGCCCUUGAUGAGCCAAACAUCGAGAUAUGGGAAGAUCUGGACCCCUCGAUGCCUCAGGCCCCUGCCAACAUUGCCACUGCCUAGGAGGUGGGGGAGGCCAGAACAGCUGCCUCGAUGACUAAGGCGUGUGCAUCCCCAGGGAGCGGAGGGUUGCCUUUGUGUCCUUCAGCCCGUGCAGACACGCAUCCAUCUGAUCAGAAAACAGGCCAACACCAUCAAAUGGAAGGUCCUGGACCGAGGCCUGCACCUCCUGGGACAGGCCAGUGGUCUGAAGCCAGGAGUUGUGCCGCAAGACCACCAUCGAGGCAACCACUCAGGUAGCUGAAUUGGCGGCUUCCCAGGCCAACUGGAGAGAGGACCGGGUGGUAAACUCUUGGGCCACUUCCUGGAACAUGGAGUCCUUGAAUGUGAGGAGAGAGUCCCACAAGUUGAAUUUGUAGCAUCCCAAGAGGGCCUGGUGAUUCGCCGCCCGAAACUGUAGGCUUGCCGUA